rnacentral:tRNA from 1 species
GUAGUUAUAGCUCAAUGAGAGAGUGCAUGCUUAGCAUGCAUGAGGUCCUGGGUUCAAUUCCUAGCACCUCCA